rnacentral:tRNA from 1 species
GAGGAUGUAGUUCAGUGGCAGAGCUCUUGCCUAUCAAGCGAAAAGCCCUGAGUUAGAUUCUCAGCACCCCA